CGUGUGGGCGGGGAGCAAGUCUGAUGUGAAAGCCCCGGGCUUAACCCGGGAAGUGCAUUGGAAACUGUUUUUCUUGAGUACUGGAGAGGAAGGGGAAUCCCCGGUGUAGAGGUGAAAUUCGUAGAGAUCGGGAGGAAUACCAGUGGCGAAGGCGCCCUUCUGGACGGUUACUGACGCUGAGACGCGAAAGCGUGGGGAGCAAACA
rnacentral:rRNA from 1 species